AGCGAACACUGGCGGCAGGCCUAACACAUGCAAGUCGAACGAAGUCUUCGGACUUAGUGGCGGACGGGUGAGUAACACGUGGGAACGUACCUUUUGGUUCGGAACAACUCAGGGAAACUUGAGCUAAUACCGGAUGAGCCCUUAGGGGGAAAGAUUUAUCGCCGAAAGAGCGGCCCGCGUUAGAUUAGCUAGUUGGUGAGGUAAAGGCUCACCAAGGCUACGAUCUAUAGCUGGUCUGAGAGGAUGAUCAGCCACACUGGGACUGAGACACGGCCCAGACUCCUACGGGAGGCAGCAGUGGGGAAUCUUGCGCAAUGGGCGAAAGCUUGACGCAGCCAUGCCGCGUGAAUGAUGAAGGUCUUAGGAUUGUAAAAUUCUUUUACCAGGGACGAUAAUGACGGUACCUGGAGAAAAAGCCCCGGCUAACUUCGUGCCAGCCGCCGCCGUAAAAC
rnacentral:rRNA from 1 species